rnacentral:tRNA from 1 species
GCCGGCGUAGCUCAGUGGUAGAGCAGAGUCUUCAUAAGGCUAAGGCCACAGGUUCGAUCCCUGUCGUCGGCA